rnacentral:rRNA from 1 species
GACGAACGCUGGCGGCGUGCUUAACACAUGCAAGUCGAACGGAAAGGCCCUGCUUUUGUGGGGUGCUCGAGUGGCGAACGGGUGAGUAACACGUGAGUAACCUGCCCUUGACUUUGGGAUAACUUCAGGAAACUGGGGCUAAUACCGGAUAGGAGCUCCUGCUGCAUGGUGGGGGUUGGAAAGUUUCGGCGGUUGGGGAUGGACUCGCGGCUUAUCAGCUUGUUGGUGGGGUAGUGGCUUACCAAGGCUUUGACGGGUAGCCGGCGUGAGAGGGUGACCGGCCACAUUGGGACUGAGAUACGGCCCAGACUCCUACGGGAGGCAGCAGUGGGGAAUAUUGCACAAUGGGCGGAAGCCUGAUGCAGCAACGCCGCGUGCGGGAUGACGGCCUUCGGGUUGUAAACCGCUUUCGCCUGUGACGAAGCGUGAGUGGCGGUAAUGGGUAAAGAAGCACCGGCUAACUACGUG